AGACCCGAAACCCGGUGAUCUAGCCAUGGGCAGGUUGAAGGUUGGGUAACACUAACUGGAGGACCGAACCGACUAAUGUUGAAAAAUUAGCGGAUGACCUGUGGCUGGGGGUGAAAGGCCAAUCAAACCGGGAGAUAGCUGGUUCUCCCCGAAAGCUAUUUAGGUAGCGCCUCGUGAAUUCAUCUCCGGGGGUAGAGCACUGUUUCGGCUAGGGGGCCAUCCCGGCUUACCAACCCGAUGCAAACUGCGAAUACCGGAGAAUGUUAUCACGGGAGACACACGGCGGGUGCUAACGUCCGUCGUGAAGAGGGAAACAACCCAGACCGCCAGCUAAGGUCCCAAAGUCAUGGUUAA
rnacentral:rRNA from 2 species